AGCAGCCGCGGUAAUUCCAGCUCCAAUAGCGUAUAUUAAAGUUGUUGCAGUUAAAAAGCUCGUAGUUGAAUUUCGAGACCGGCUUACUGGUCGUGCUAUUGUACGUACUGGUAUAAUCGGUUUCUCCUUUCUGACGAACUAUAAUGCCAUUAAUUUGGUGUUAUAGGGAAUCAGGACUGUUACUUUGAAAAAAUUGAAGUGUUUAAAGCAGGCUCACGCUUGAAUACAUUAGCAUGGAAUAACGGAAUAGGACGUUUGAUUCUAUUUUGUUGGUUUCUAGGAUCGACGUAAUGAUUAAUAGGGAUAGUUGGGGGCAUUAGUAUUCAAUUGUCAGAGGUGAAAUUCUUGGAUUUAUUGAAGACUAACUACUGCGAAAGCAUUUGCCAAGGAUGUUUUCAUUAAUCAAGAACGAAAGUUAGGGAUCGAAGACGAUCAGAUACCGUCGUAGUCUUAACCAUAAACUAUAGCCGACUAGGGAUCGGGAUGGAUGUUAAUUUUUAUGUACUCAUUUCGGCGUCCU
rnacentral:rRNA from 1 species